UGUUAAACUUUUUUCUAUUUCUACUGUUAAAAAUGGGUAUGACUGAUAAAAUAACCAAAUAGCUACACGUGGUGUGCCACAUGUACCUCAUGCUAGUGUAAAGGAACCGACUUUUAAUAGUAAAAACAACCAAACUUUUUGCUA
rfam:Gossypium raimondii Chr04_contig_776, whole genome shotgun sequence.